UGAUCCUGGCUCAGAUUGAACGCUGGCGGCAUGCCUUACACAUGCAAGUCGAACGGCAGCGGGGGUAGCUUGCUACCUGCCGGCGAGUGGCGAACGGGUGAGUAAUACAUCGGAACGUGCCCUGUAGUGGGGGAUAACUAGUCGAAAGACUAGCUAAUACCGCAUACGACCUGAGGGUGAAAGUGGGGGACCGCAAGGCCUCAUGCUAUAGGAGCGGCGAUGUCUGAUUAGCUAGUUGGUGGGGUAAAGUGCCUACCAAGGCGACGAUCAGUAGCUGGUCUGAGAGGACGAUCAGCCACACUGGGACUGAGACACGGCCCAGACUCCUACGGGAGGCAGCAGUGGGGAAUUUUGGACAAUGGGGGCAACCCUGAUCCAGCAAUGCCGCGUGUGUGAAGAAGGCCUUCGGGUUGUAAAGCACUUUUGUCCGGAAAGAAAUCGCUUCGGUUAAUACCUGGAGUGGAUGACGGUACCGGAAGAAUAAGGACCGGCUAACUACGUGCCAGCAGCCGCGGUAAUACGUAAGGGUCCAAGCGUUAA
rnacentral:rRNA from 1 species